GAUGAACGCUGGCGGCGUGCUUAACACAUGCAAGUCGAGCGAUGAAGUUUCCUUCGGGAAAUGGAUUAGCGGCGGACGGGUGAGUAACACGUGGGUAACCUGCCUCAUAGAGUGGAAUAGCCUUCCGAAAGGAAGAUUAAUACCGCAUAAUGUUGAAAGAUGGCAUCAUCAUUCAACCAAAGGAGCAAUCCGCUAUGAGAUGGACCCGCGGCGCAUUAGCUAGUUGGCGGGGUAACGGCCCACCUAGUCUUCGAUGGAUAGGGGUUCUGAGAGGAAGGUCCCCCACAUUGGAACUGAGACACGGUCCAA
rnacentral:rRNA from 1 species